GAGGAAAGUCCGGGCUCCAUAGGGCAAGGUGCCAGGUAACGCCUGGGGGGUGUCACAGCCCACGACCAGUGCAACAGAGAGCAAACCGCCGAUGGCCCGCGUAAGCGGGAUCAGGUAAGGGUGAAAGGGUGCGGUAAGAGCGCACCGCGCGGCUGGUAACAGUCCGCGGCACGGUAAACUCCACCCGGAGCAAGGCCAAAUAGGGGUUCAUAAGGUACGGCCCGUACUGAACCCGGGUAGGCUGCUUGAGCCAGUGAGCGAUUGCUGGCCUAGAUGAAUGACUGUCCACGACAGAACCCGGCUUA
rnacentral:RNase_P_RNA from 1 species